rnacentral:rRNA from 1 species
UUGAUCCUGGCUCAGGAUGAACUUUAGCGGCAGGCUUAACACAUGCAAGUCGAGGGGCAGCAUGUCCAGCAAUGGAUGAUGGCGACCGGCGGAAGGGUGCGUAACGCGUGAGCAACAUGCCCUAUACAGGGAGAUACACCAGGGAAACUUGGUCUAAUAUCCCAUAGCAUUCAUUGAAGGCAUCUUUAAUGAAUUAAAGCUUCGGUGGUAUAGGAUUGGCUCGCGUGACAUCAGCCAGAUGGUGAGGUAACGGCUCACCAUAGCAAUGAUGUCUAGGGGUUUUGAGAGGAAGGCCCCCCACACUGGGACUGAGACACGGCCCAGACUCCUACGGGAGGCAGCAGUGAGGAAUAUUGGACAAUGGAUGGAAAUCUGAUCCAGCCAUGCCGCGUGCAGGAAGACGGCCUUAUGGGUUGUAAACUGCUUUUAUACGGGAGCAAUAAGGGUUACGAGUAAUCCGAUGAGAGUACUGUAUGAAUAAGGAUCGGCUAACUCCGUGCCAGCAGCCGCGGUAAUACGGAGGAUCCGAGCGUUAUCCGGAAUUAUUGGGUUUAAAGGGUGCGUAGGUGGGCGUUUAAGUCAGUGGUUAAAGCCAAUAGCUUAACUAUUGUAUGCCAUUGAAACUGGAUGUCUUGAAUAGGGUAGAGGUAGGCGGAAUGUGUUGUGUAGCGGUGAAAUGCUUAGAUAUAACACAGAACACCGAUUGCGAAGGCAGCUUACUAUGCCUUUAUUGACACUGAUGCACGAAAGCGUGGGGAUCAAACAGGAUUAGAUACCCUGGUAGUCCACGCUGUAAACGAUGAUCACUCGUUUUUGGCAAUACAUCGUCAGAGACUAAGCGAAAGCAUUAAGUGAUCCACCUGGGGAGUACGUUCGCAAGAAUGAAACUCAAAGGAAUUGACGGGGGCCCGCACAAGCGGAGGAACAUGUGGUUUAAUUCGAUGAUACGCGAGGAACCUUACCUGGGCUUAAAUGUAUAGUGCAUAAUAUGGAAACAUAUUUUUCCUUCGGGACUCUUUACAAGGUGCUGCAUGGUUGUCGUCAGCUCGUGCCGUGAGGUGUCGGGUUAAGUCCCAUAACGAGCGCAACCCUCAUCGCCAGUUGCCAGCAUGUAAUGAUGGGGACUCUGGUGAAACUGCCGGUGUAAACCGUGAGGAAGGUGGGGAUGACGUCAAAUCAGCACGGCCCUUAUGUCCAGGGCUACACACGUGUUACAAUGGCCAAUACAAAGGGCAGCCACCCGGCGACGGGGUGCUAAUCCAUAAAGUUGGUCUUAGUUCGGAUCGGAGUCUGCAACUCGACUCCGUGAAGCUGGAUUCGCUAGUAAUCGUAGAUCAGCCAUGCUACGGUGAAUACGUUCCCGGGCCUUGUACACACCGCCCGUCA